rnacentral:rRNA from 1 species
CCUACCUAUAAGACUGGGAUAACUUCGGGAAACCGGAGCUAAUACCGGAUAAGAUUUUGAACCGCAUGGUUCAAUAGUGAAAGACGGCCUUGCUGUCACUUAUAGAUGGAUCCGCGCCGUAUUAGCUAGUUGGUAAGGUAACGGCUUACCAAGGCAACGAUACGUAGCCGACCUGAGAGGGUGAUCGGCCACACUGGAACUGAGACACGGUCCAGACUCCUACGGGAGGCAGCAGUAGGGAAUCUUCCGCAAUGGGCGAAAGCCUGACGGAGCAACGCCGCGUGAGUGAUGAAGGUCUUCGGAUCGUAAAACUCUGUUAUCAGGGAAGAACAAACGUGUAAGUAACUGUGCACGUCUUGACGGUACCUGAUCAGAAAGCCACGGCUAACUACGUGCCAGCAGCCGCGGUAAUACGUAGGUGGCAAGCGUUAUCCGGAAUUAUUGGGCGUA